rnacentral:rRNA from 1 species
AGACCCGAAACCCGGUGAUCUAGCCAUGGGCAGGUUGAAGGUUGGGUAACACUAACUGGAGGACCGAACCGACUAAUGUUGAAAAAUUAGCGGAUGACCUGUGGCUGGGGGUGAAAGGCCAAUCAAACCGGGAGAUAGCUGGUUCUCCCCGAAAGCUAUUUAGGUAGCGCCUCGUGAAUUCAUCUCCGGGGGUAGAGCACUGUUUCGGCUAGGGGGCCAUCCCGGCUUACCAACCCGAUGCAAACUGCGAAUACCGGAGAAUGUUAUCACGGGAGACACACGGCGGGUGCUAACGUCCGUCGUGAAGAGGGAAACAACCCAGACCGCCAGCUAAGGUCCCAAAGUCAUGGUUAAGUGGGAAACGAUGUGGGAAGGCCCAGACAGCCAGGAUGUUGGCUUAGAAGCAGCCAUCAUUUAAAGAAAGCGUAAUAGCUCACUGGUCGAGUCGGCCUGCGCGGAAGAUGUAACGGGGCUAAACCAUGCACCGAAGCUGCGGCAGCGACACUGUGUGUUGUUGGGUAGGGGAGCGUUCUGUAAGCCUGUGAAGGUGUGUCGUGAGGCAUGCUGGAGGUAUCAGAAGUGCGAAUGCUGACAUAAGUAACGAUAAAGCGGGUGAAAAGCCCGCUCGCCGGAAGACCAAGGGUUCCUGUCCAACGUUAAUCGGGGCAGGGUGAGUCGACCCCUAAGGCGAGGCCGAAAGGCGUAGUCGAUGGGAAACGGGUUAAUAUUCCCGUACUUGGUGUUACUGCGAAGGGGGGACGGAGAAGGCUAUGUUGGCCGGGCGACGGUUGUCCCGGUUUAAGCGUGUAGGUGUGUGUUCCAGGUAAAUCCGGUUCACUUUAACACUGAGGCGUGACGACGAGGCACUACGGUGCUGAAGCAACAAAUGCCCUGCUUCCAGGAAAAGCCUCUAAGCAUCAGGUAACAUCAAAUCGUACCCCAAACCGACACAGGUGGUCAGGUAGAGAAUACCAAGGCGCUUGAGAGAACUCGGGUGAAGGAACUAGGCAAAAUGGUGCCGUAACUUCGGGAGAAGGCACGCUGACACGUAGGUGAAGUGAUUUACUCAUGGAGCUGAAGUCAGUCGAAGAUACCAGCUGGCUGCAACUGUUUAUUAAAAACACAGCACUGUGCAAACACGAAAGUGGACGUAUACGGUGUGACGCCUGCCCGGUGCCGGAAGGUUAAUUGAUGGGGUCAGCGCAAGCGAAGCUCCUGAUCGAAGCCCCGGUAAACGGCGGCCGUAACUAUAACGGUCCUAAGGUAGCGAAAUUCCUUGUCGGGUAAGUUCCGACCUGCACGAAUGGCGUAAUGAUGGCCAGGCUGUCUCCACCCGAGACUCAGUGAAAUUGAACUCGCUGUGAAGAUGCAGUGUACCCGCGGCAAGACGGAAAGACCCCGUGAACCUUUACUAUAGCUUGACACUGAACAUUGAGCCUUGAUGUGUAGGAUAGGUGGGAGGCUUUGAAGUGUGGACGCCAGUCUGCAUGGAGCCGACCUUGAAAUACCACCCUUUAAUGUUUGAUGUUCUAACGUGGACCCGUUACCCGGGUUGCGGACAGUGUCUGGUGGGUAGUUUGACUGGGGCGGUCUCCUCCUAAAGAGUAACGGAGGAGCACGAAGGUUGGCUAAUCCUGGUCGGACAUCAGGAGGUUAGUGCAAUGGCAUAAGCCAGCUUGACUGCGAGCGUGACGGCGCGAGCAGGUGCGAAAGCAGGUCAUAGUGAUCCGGUGGUUCUGAAUGGAAGGGCCAUCGCUCAACGGAUAAAAGGUACUCCGGGGAUAACAGGCUGAUACCGCCCAAGAGUUCAUAUCGACGGCGGUGUUUGGCACCUCGAUGUCGGCUCAUCACAUCCUGGGGCUGAAGUAGGUCCCAAGGGUAUGGCUGUUCGCCAUUUAAAGUGGUACGCGAGCUGGGUUUAGAACGUCGUGAGACAGUUCGGUCCCUAUCUGCCGUGGGCGCUGGAGAACUGAGGGGGGCUGCUCCUAGUACGAGAGGACCGGAGUGGACGCAUCACUGGUGUUCGGGUUGUCAUGCCAAUGGCACUGCCCGGUAGCUAAAUGCGGAAGAGAUAAGUGCUGAAAGCAUCUAAGCACGAAACUUGCCCCGAGAUGAGUUCUCCCUGAGACUUAAAGUCUCCUGAAGGAACGUUGAAGACGACGACGUUGAUAGGCCGGGUGUGUAAGCGCAGCGAUGCGUUGAGCUAACCGGUACUAAUGAACCGUGAGGCUUAACCUUACAACGCCG